rnacentral:rRNA from 1 species
UAGGGAAUAUUAGAAAUGGACGAAAGUCUGAUCUAGCAACACCGCGUGUGCGAAGAAGGCCUUCGGGUCGUAAAGCACUUUUUGGAAGGAAUAGGAAGGAAUGUACUUCCAGAAUAAGUCUCGGCUAACUACGUGCCAGCAGCCGCGGUAACACGUAGGAGGCGAACGUAUCCGGAUUUACUGGGCGUAAAGCGCGUGUAGGUGGUACUGUAAGUAGGGCGUGAAAGCUCCUGGCUCAACUGGGAGAGGCCGUUCUAAACUACAGAACUAGAGGAUGGUAGAGGGAGGUGGAAUUCCAGGUGUAGCGGUGGAAUGCGCAGAUAUCUGGAGGAACACCGGUGGCGAAGGCGGCCUCCUGGACCAUUUCUGACACUCAGACGCGAAAGCUAGGGUAGCAAACGG